rnacentral:rRNA from 1 species
UAUCAGCUUUCGACGGUUCUGUAGUGGACUACCGGGGCAUUAACGGGUUACGGAGAAUUAGGGUUCGAUUCCGGAGAGGGAGCCUGAGAAACGGCUACCACAUCUAAGGAAGGCAGCAGGCGCGUAAAUUACCCACUCCCAGCCGGGGAGGUAGUGACGAAAAAUAACAAUACAGGACUCAUUAUAGAGGCCCUGUAAUUGGAAUGAGUACACUUUAAAUCCUUUAACAAGGACCUAUUGGAGGGCAAGUCUGGUGCCAGCAGCCGCGGUAACUCCAGCUCCAAUAGCGUAUAUUAAAGUUGUUGCGGUUAAAACGUUCGUAGUUGAACUUGUGCUUCAUACGGGUAGUAUAACUAUAAUUGUAGUCUGUACUAUACCUUAUGUAUGUAAGCGUAUUACCGGUGGAGUUCUUAUAUAUAUUAAAUACUUGUAUUUAUACGUAUUCCUCCUAUUUAAACCUGCUUCAGUGCUCCUCAUUGCGUGCUGUUGUAGGCCGGUACAAUUACUUUGAACAAAUUAGAGUGCUUAAAGCAGGCUCCAAAUGCCUGAAUAUUUUGUGCAUGGAAUAAUGAAAUAAGACCUCUGUUCUACUUUCAUUGGUUUUUAGAUCAAGAGGUAAUGAUUAAUAGAAGCAGUUUGGGGGCAUUAGUAUUACGACGCGAGAGGUGAAAUUCUUGGACCGUCGUAAGACUAACUUAAGCGAAGGCAUUUGCCAAAGAUGUUUUCAUUAAUCAAGAAUGAAAGCUAGAGGUUCGAAGGCGAUCAGAUACCGCCCUAGUUCUAACCAUAAACGAUGCCAGCUAGCAAUUGGGUGUAGCUACUAUUAUGGCUCUCUCAGUCGCUUCCCGGGAAACCAAGGCUUUUGGGCUCCGGGGGAAGUAUGGUUGCAAAGCUGAAACUUAAAGGAAUUGACGGAAGGGCACCACCAGGAGUGGAGCCUGCGGCUUAAUUUGACCCAACACGGGAAAACUUACCAGGUCCGAACAUAAGCGUGUAAGACAGAUUGAUAGCUCUUUCUCGAAUCUAUGGGUGGUGGUGCAUGGCCGUUCUUAGUUCGUGGAGUGAUUUGUCUGGUUAAUUCCGAUAACGAACGAGACUCAAAUAUAUUAAAUAGAUGCUUUCAGGAUUAUGGUGUUUGAAGCUUUUAUAGCCUUCAUUCAUGAAUGCAGUAACAUGUGUGAGUGUUUGAAUGUGUUUAUAAAGGUGGAGCCGUACCUGUUGGUUUGUCCCAUUAUAAGGACACUAGCUUCUUAAAUGGACAAAUUGCGUCUAGCAAUAAUGAGAUUGAGCAAUAACAGGUCUGUGAUGCCCUUAGAUGUCCUGGGCUGCACGCGCGCUACAAUGAAAGUAUCAACGUGUAUUUCCUAGACCGAGAGGUCCGGGUAAACCGCUGAACCACUUUCAUGCUUGGGAUUGUGAACUGAAACUGUUCACAUGAACUUGGAAUUCCCAGUAAGUGUGAGUCAUUAACUCGCAUUGAUUACGUCCCUGCCCUUUGUACACACCGCCCGUCGCUACUACCGAUUGAAUUAUUUAGUGAGGUCUCCGGACGUGAUCACUGUAAC